rnacentral:rRNA from 1 species
UUAAAACCAUUCUCAGUUCGGACUGUAGGCUGCAACUCGCCUACACGAAGUCGGAAUCGCUAGUAAUCGCGGAUCAGCAUGCCGCGGUGAAUACGUUCCCGGGCCUUGUACACACCGCCCGUCACACCAUGAGAGUUUGUAACACCCAAAGCCGGUGGGGUAACCUUUUAGGAGCUAGCC